rnacentral:rRNA from 1 species
AUGAGAUUUCUUUCUACGGAUAUGAAGGAUAGAAGAGUGACUUUGUUUUUCACCAAAAUCUAUAUUUGGGUGCGCUUUAUUUUUCCAUUCCAAAUCCAAAAAUUUAUAUUCUUGCUAUGGUUCUCCUUAAUAACACUAAGAUUGUUGCUUAUUCUCUGGAACUUGUUCGAUCCUUUAUUUGCGACGGAAGCACUCGUCUUCGCUUCCUUCUAUAGCGAAGCUAGUGUUACUAUGUUAGGUGGUAUGAAUAUGAUGGGCGAUGACGACCUGUCCCGCGCCGUAGCCCCGUAUCUCCCGCAGGGAGGUCAGGCUCCAGUAAAUAUUCCCGAAGGACGACCGCUUAUAGUGGAAGAGGAAGGCCGUCUUGCCCUGGUGUUGGAUUUGCAAAAUCAGAUUGGCACUCUUCUCAGGAAUAUCAAUCUUCACUCGUUCCGGAACCAUCACUUUGAAGAGGAAAGCAACUCUGAUCUCGCCGCGGCGGCCCUACUCCAUAAAGAAGAAUAUCGUUAUAGAUUAAGCUCUAGGUUCUACUUUCGCGUGGUAGAAUGGGUCAAGGUCGAGAGAAAGGUUCGUAGCGGGGAGUCCAAGAACGUUCCUCAUUGA